UCAGAUUAAAUAAUAAAAUGGAGUCAGAUUUGAGUUUAACCUAAAAUGAAUAACUCUACGCGCUGAAAGACAGAACACGCAGGAAACCUUCAUCCAGCACCGGAUACCUUCCUUGGGCCGAGUGUCUGGACCUUACAAAGUGGUGACCCCGCCAACGUGAUCUCCCUAAUUAUGCGAGUGACGUCUUUCCAGCGCUAAUUUCAAAUUGAUUCUCUCUGAAGAUAUAAGGUUUGAGCUUCUUCCCUGUCUACAACUGCUGUGGUUGACCACUGCAAUUCUUUGGAGGACAGAUACCAGGAGGGUGUCUUGUCCCCUCUGCACCAAGCCAGGACAACAGAAUUGUUACAUAACCUGAAAUGCGGGAGAUGAAUGUGAAGACACUUGAAGGGGCCAUUCACACCUCACAGGAGAACAUCACCACACAAAUAUCUACAUGGCCUCCCGGAUUAGAACCGGAACUAAAUUUUUGCAACACAGAUUGCUAUAGAUAAGACUCCAUUCAUCUCCCAGACAUGACCAUAGGACACACAUCUCACCCAUUGCAUCAUCACCUCACCUAGACUAUCCAGUCUGUACACUACAAUCAGUAGACAAUGAUGGCUUAGAUCACAAACGUGGUACUCCACUAAAGAUCUAUUGUCCAUCAUCACACUGACAGAACCACAUAACCUCACACACACAGGACAAUAGAAUUAAUUACAUUCCCAAAAUAUAUAAAAUAUCUACUAUCUGCAACUGUCUAAAAAACUAAUGGAACAACACUGUAACACAUUUGUACGACAAGUCACAGAUCGAUGGUGCAAAUUUUUUAACACAGAGGCAGACAAGCCUUUACAAUUUAACAUUUUGAAUCUUUCAGAUUGUCAUUAGGGUGGUUGACAAGCCAGAGGGCCCCUGGUUUCCCAACACAUCACUAUUGACAAUAAACAUUAUUAAAAUUAUAAAAUAUGAAGUGCCUGCACUUCAUCUCUAUCAGUCAAUUAUAAAAUUAAACACUUUACCAAACCAUCAACUGUGACUUAACCUUUAUAUCAGAUACCCAUUCUCACACACACACACACACACGCACACACACACACACACACAACACACACACACACACACACACACACACACACCUGUUACAAGGAAUUUAGGAUUUACAUUGUAGAAAAAUGUUUUGAUCGUAUUCUAAGUCACUUCUUAAAAACCUUCUAAAACAUCUUCUAAAGUGACUUGCAAUAGAAAAUUCCUGAAUUAACAGUGUGAUUAUUGUAUAUACCUUCAUAAUUGUGAUUGAAUGUUAUUAUUGUCAUUAUAUGACUUGUUUAUUGAUUGCAUACCUCUAAAUUAAUGCUCAAAUUAUACUGAACUCUUGCUGCAUUUCCUUUGAGUCAUUCAUACCAAAAUUUAUGUUACAUGGGAUCACUUUUAACAUCAGAUGUACCACUUGCACUGGCUGACAUGAAUUCAUCAGGUUUCUUUUUUGUUUUAUUGCUCUUAUAUUAACUUAUGAGUUUUCUUUCUUACUCCAUGGGUGAUGACAUUAAGCUGAUCAGAAUACAGUCAUUGGAUGGCCACUAAGAUGCUUUUCAGGUGUCCCACACAAAUCAGUGUGUAAGCAAGGAGAACACCUUCACCUACUGAAGUCUGCUUAAAAAA